ensembl:lncRNA
UUGGUAUUACUUUCCUCCUUGUUUCAGACUGCUCAAAUAACAAUAGCAGCAGAGUGGAAGUGCCCGUUGUGCCAAAAACAAUAAAGUGGAUACACAGAGACUGAUUAUUCUUGGCAACAAAUAGGCUGUAAUAUGAAGUAUUUUUAGAUUUGGAUUCCUUUCAUUGGAUGUGCAAAGGAUAAAACUCCUUGGAGCAAGUUCCCAGUCUUCUCAUCCCCUUUCUGGAAAAGUGCAAUUCUUGGAAGUAAGGUGAUCCAGGUUGGAGAGCUCCUUCCUGCCUGGCUCAGAGGGCUGGAUAAUUUCAGUUUUCCAGUUGACAACUUCCCUGGAAAAUGCUCUGAGCAGCAGCUGACCACAGUGUUCUUCUGAAGUCUUCC